CCCACUUAACAGAAAAUUACACAUCUCAUGUGUCAAAAGUGUCACACCUACAUAAAUAUGUUAAAUUCAAAUACGUAUAAAUGUUAAAACAAAUAAUUAUUAUAUUUGAACACACAAUCCUACAAUGCAUUUCGGAGUUUGCACUGCGUGCAAUUUUAUAGUCAUAAUGUAUUUUUGGCCACAGCUGUAUCCCAUCAAAUGGUACUUCGUGGCCUAUAUGGGAUGGUCAUUGCUCGCCACUGUCUAAUCUACAGUAACUUAUCAUAAUUUAAAGAUUUGGAGAGGCAACACUUCAGCCAUUUCUCGCAUUGAUGCCGAUUCUCUCGUACGAAUAAAAUAGGUGCGGGGAGCUAUGCCAUGCGAAAUCAGGAUAUUAAAUUUGUUUGUUUGUAACAAAAUACCCAAUAAAUAUUAGAUAUUCUCACUA